UAGAUCUUGGAAAACUUGUCCCAGAGGAAAAUACUCUUUUAUGACCAUCACGCUUCGUUCUUUUUGCGCUCACGGUCACGCUAACAAAGUUCCUUCAUCUAUUCGGAAGACGUUGUUCCAUUGUUACCAGAUAUCGAUUGAGGCGAGGGUGUUGCAUUUUGAAAACAUUUGAAGUGGUAGUAAGGUCUUAAUGGAUUAAUUAGUGGGCAUUCAGGAGCCUAACUUUGUUCAAUUGACCAAGUCGAUGGAUUCAUCCUUAUUUGCAAACACGAUAUGCAGGUAAGGAGUUUUAUGUGGAGUUAACAUGUUCAAUGGCUAGCCUUAUUUGUGGUAUUUAUUGG